GCGGAAGUAGCUCAGUGGUGAGCAACGCCUUGCCAAGGCAAGGAUCGCGAGUUAGAAUCUCGUUUUCGGCUCC
rnacentral:tRNA from 1 species